rnacentral:rRNA from 1 species
GCGCAUAAGACCACGCUAUCGCAUGAUAGAGGGGUUAAAGGCUUCGGUCGGUAAAAGAUGGUUGUGCGUUCCAUUAGCUAGAUGGUAAGGUAACGGCUUACCAUGGCGACGAUGGGUAGGGGGCGUGAGAGCGUGAUCCCCCACACGGGUACUGAGACACGGACCCGACUCCUACGGGAGGCAGCAGUAAGGAAUAUUGGUCAAUGGAGGCAACUCUGAACCAGCCAUGCCGCGUGUGUGAUGAAGGCCCUUUGGGUUGUAAAGCACUUUUAGAUAGGAAGAAUGGCGGGGAUUUAUCCCCGAAGCGACGGUACUAUCAGAAUAAGCACCGGCUAACUCCGUGCCAGCAGCCGCGGUAAUACGGAGGGUGCAAGCGUUAUCCGGAAUCACUGGGUUUAAAGGGUACGUAGGCGGUUUUAUAAGUCAGACGUCAAAGGCCGUAGCUAAACUAUGGUACGCGUUUGAAACUAUAAGACUUGAAUAUGUUCGAGGUGCGUGGAAUGCGUCAUGUAGCGGUGAAAUGCAUAGAUAUGACGUAGAACACCGAUUGCGAAGGCAGCGCACUAGGGCAUUAUUGACGCUGAGGUACGAAAGCGUGGGUAGCGAACAGGAUUAGAUACCCCUGGUAGUC